AAAUUAAAUUAAAUUAAAAAGGUUUUAAUUUAUCAUGAAUAAAAUAGUUCUAUAUAAAAUAUUUAAAUAUUAUUGAAAAAGCAAUAAAAUGACAUUACAUUAUAAUAGUUCAGCACAUAAAUUAGUUUCAUUUUUGAUUUAGUUCAGUUACACCUAUGCUGGCAACCACUGUGCUAGUGUACUCCUAAAAGUUAACAAAAUGAACAUUUGUCACACAUACUUUUAUAAUUACAAAAUACACACAAAAUGUUAUAACUUUAAUAUAUUUAAUGUUUUAACAUUUGUUCAAUCAAAUUCUGAAAUGAAAAUGUCCUCCUCUCUGCAGUCAUGGUUGUAAAAUAUGUUUAACCCGUAAAAAAAAAAAACAAUCCUUUAAUAUUUCCAACCCAAACUUCCUGUUUCAACAGGAAAUAUGUCAAUAAAGGAAAGAAAACUGUGCUCGCGAGCUGUUUCAUGGGGUCUUUAUGCCUUUUCCUCACUGACCACUUUCAGUGUUCAUGUUAUUUGUGUGCCUUUCUUUGUUCGAUUAGUAGCAAUACAUAUUUUUGUCUAUUUAGCUGUAAACAUACGUAUUUAAAGGAAGAUAUUCUAAGAUUUUUACCAUAGAUUUCUACUUUGAUGAUAAAGUUAAGCAUUUAUUUGUCCUGGUACUUUGUCUUGUCUACUCAGUAGAUGUGAAUCAGAGUCCUUAUCGAGUGUGCAGUGCUGGUGUCCUGUGCUCUUUCUUGAUGACAUUUAUUUCUGGAAAUAUGCAAAAAUGCAUAUUACAAUUAUUGGCAGGCCAGUACAGUUGGUUCAAAAAUUGGAGUAAAGAUUUUUUUUAUAAAACAAAUCUGUUUUAGACAUGUUAUGUAGCAUACUGGAUCCUUAAAAUGAGUUUAAUCUUAGUGAUUUCUUGCAUUGUUUAAAGAUGGUGCUUCAUGCUGUCUGACCCAUAUGAAUACCCAUAUGAAUAUAACAACAUUAACUCUAUCUAUUUGAAUUUCCCUGAGGUUGUCUUUAAAGUUGAAUCAUAAAGCAUAAAUUAUUUCUUAAGGCUAUUGGUUAUGACUGUGGCAAUAUGUAGUAAUGUAGCAAGAAAUGACAUAUUAGCACUUUAGAUCUUCUGUUAAAUUUUAAUGUAAAUCUAAACCCCUGGUGAAAAAAAAAGAAUGACACAUUGCUACGAUUUCAAGGUACAAAGAUGAGGUUUGGCACACAGUCCAGUUUUUAAAGUAAUAAGCGUGUUUUGAUAGAAGACUGGAGAUGUGUUGCUUUAUGGUGGAUCCGCUGUGUGAGACGGGAUCUGAGAGAGUGGCUGUGCACAACUAAGCAAAG
rnacentral:lncRNA from 1 species